AACCUCAAGUCCAUCUAUGUAUGACUUGAAAUAUAGAAGCAUUGAUCAAUUAAGUCAAAAGCUUCAAGUGUAUCAAAGAUCAACCAAAAAUAUGAAUAAAGAUGAUUUAAAAGGGAACUUAAAGAGAAAAUUCCAAACUGUGAUCAAAAUGAUUAAAAAAUGGUUGCAACAAUUACACAAAGUCUCAAAUAUUAUGAAUAAUUAGAUAUAAGAGGUUGGAUGCAAAAAUGGUUAAAAAAUA
rnacentral:lncRNA from 1 species